GGCGUACGGGUGCGGAACACGUGUGCAACCUACCUUUAUCAGGGGGAUAGCCUUUCGAAAGGAAGAUUAAUACCCCAUAAUAUAUUGACUGGCAUCAGUUGAUAUUGAAAACUCCGGUGGAUAGAGAUGGGCACGCGCAAGAUUAGAUAGUUGGUAGGGUAACGGCCUACCAAGUCAAUGAUCUUUAGGGGGCCUGAGAGGGUGAUCCCCCACACUGGUACUGAGACACGGACCAGACUCCUACGGGAGGCAGCAGUGAGGAAUAU
rnacentral:ncRNA from 1 species